UGGUCUGUCCAAUCGGAAUCCACGCUUCAAGAUCCUGCUUUUAUCAUGCGGACUGGGACAUGUUCCGGGUAGCUUCAGAAUAAUAUAGACGUCUACGCCGAUUCGGUCAGGGAGAAUUCAGAGGGCAGUGCUAAGUAUGGGAGGUGAGCAAGCGCCUGAAUGCUCAGCUGAAAGAGUCUGAGAAGAGACACCAGGAGGAGAAGGACUGAAUGCAGGUCAGACAGGAGAAAAAGCACAGGUGAGGAGAAUCWGUCGCCAUAACGACUACAAAUCAGUCAUGCAACUGAAACGUAGACUGUCUGCACAUAGUAUCUCAUAUACAACUCUACAUGAGUAUACAACAAUACAGUCCUCAGCAACAGACAUUGUAACAUUGCUACUCUAGCCUACAUCGUUCAUGAAUUGCCAUACUUAUAAGUCCAAAGUUUGAAAAGAGUAUACAGCAUAUUUUUUAAGAUACUAAAAAGGAUACGGUAUACUCCCUUUAAAAUUUGGACCCAUAAAUAUGGCAAGUUCAUACACAGUGUAGAUAUGAUGGUAAUUCUGUUUAUGUAACCACUGGGUUGUGGUGUGAGAACUGAAGGAGCUGGCUGUCCUGAAGGAGAAGAUCCAUCAUCUGGACGACAUGCUGAAGAGCCAGCAGAGAAAGGUCUGCCACAUGAUUGAACAGCUGCAGAAUUCACGGACAGUGACCCAGGAGAGAGAUCAAGUGAUCAGGGAUCCAGAGGUUUUCUGGAAGCUGAGAACACAGAGAUGCGUGACCAGAUGGAGUACUUCCUGGAGGGUCAGAAGCCCGCCUCUCUGCCCACCAAAGAAUGUAAACCCAAAACCCAUCGUCUACAGGUGACAACACCAUCGUCCUGUCUCUUAUCUCUAUAGGGCCGAUUUCCCGGACACAGAUUAAACCUWUUCCUUCGUCCUGUGCUAGGCCUGAUCUGUGUCUGGAAAACUGGCUCAUAAUAGUUCUUCACAUGUGACUCACCUGUCUUAGAAUUCAGUCAGUGUGUGAAGGUUAUUUUCAUGAACAACACAACAGCAAUAAAGUAUACUUUUUGAGGAUAGAAAGGAGGGCCAAGGAAGUGGAAGAAAAUCUAUGUACACCUUAUGUCUUACGGUAUAUUUCUGCUUUUUGCCCACAGUAAGCUGAUAAAACCUUCAACAAUGCAAGGCAAUAAGUCACUUCCUUUAAUCAGUCAUUGAGGUCAAGGCUUGGGAGAGAGAGAGAGAAUAGGAUGUGAGUGAAAGUAGUCUGUCUACGCAUGUACAGUGUAUUCGGGAAAGUAUUCUGACCCCUUGACUUUUUCCACAUUUUGUUACGUUACUGUAACGACUCUCGUCCUGRGAAGAUGAGGAGGAAGGAUCGGACCAAUACGCAGCGUGGUAAGCAAUUAACGUUAGACAACCUCUUGUGAUUAGCAUACAAGCUAAUAAAUCAACUGAACACUGAACAAAAUAACAAAGAGCACGAACGAACAAACGAAACAGUUCUGUAUGGU